CCGAAGCUGCGGCAGCGACACUGUGUGUUGUUGGGUAGGGGAGCGUUCUGUAAGCCUGUGAAGGUGGCCUGUGAGGGUUGCUGGAGGUAUCAGAAGUGCGAAUGCUGACAUAAGUAACGAUAAAGCGGGUGAAAAGCCCGCUCGCCGGAAGACCAAGGGUUCCUGUCCAACGUUAAUCGGGGCAGGGUGAGUCGACCCCUAAGGCGAGGCCGAAAGGCGUAGUCGAUGGGAAACGGGUUAAUAUUCCCGUACUU
rnacentral:rRNA from 1 species